ACAGAACACUGUCUUCUUAGUUAGUGCAGCGCCCUCCUGGAAAAACACAAGACAAAAAGGAGUAUAUUUCAAUGAGGCAACCAAAAGAGAGUGUAGAGCGGGGACACUAGGACCCAGGCACAAUUUGGCAAAUCAAGGGAGAACAUCUCAGCAGUUAAAAGGCCAAUUGAGCACAGGUGUAUGUCAGCAUUCAUUCCUGCUCCGGUGAUCAUGCCUGUGCACAUGUCCUUGGGUCAUAACGGUCCAGAACAAGUUGCAGUGCAGUGCUAUAGCUGUUGUUGGCCCCCAGUCACAGGAGUGGCUGGUGCAGUGGAAGUUCACUUGUUGAUUUGUGGUUUGCUGUGGCACUGGUGUGUUUUCUGUUGGGGAAAAAGGGUUUAAUGUGUAUAGUUUUUGUUACUCACGAUAGCAUACUUCCAGUGCACUAGCCUGCUGACUGGUGUGCCACACCACUAUAGCAACUUUUAAUUAACUUUUGAAUAAA